rnacentral:lncRNA from 1 species
UGGUCAAAUGAGUGAAUCAACAUCUCAAGAUCAGUCCAAGCCUGACCAGGACAAUGGAAAAGAAGACAGGGAACAGCA